ensembl:ncRNA lncRNA:CR44983 long non-coding RNA:CR44983
GCCCAGAAGACCAGUUUUCGGAACGGGGAGGAAUAUGCGUAUAAAUACAUAUUCCGGGGGUAACGAAAGCGUAGCUGAUUUUGUUGUAUUAUAAACACAAAUAAAUAAAGGACGAGACGGCUGUUGGGCAGGAUGAGCGAUCGCGAAUGAGGCAAACGAGGCAGAAACACGAAAUCGUCCUUCGUCCUUCAUCCUUCAUCCUGCGGCUGCGGCGGCUGGCUUCCAACAAUGGCUGCGAUGACAGCCCAGCCUAAAUGCCGGGCUCGAAAAUAUAUUUAAAGGGUGCCCGGGAUGUACAGGACACGCAGGAUACCCUCACACAGACGCGGUGCUCGGCCAUCGGAUCCAUUGGAAACCACCACCUUUGCACCACCUUUGCACCACCCUGGCCACAGUUGCCAUUGUUCACCCAUAUGUUAAGACGUGCUAAAUAUGGGAGUGUCCUUGUCAUUUAUAUGUCGCAAUGUCGCCCGCUCCAGAUUCUGCGCUUUGUGCACUGUAAAAAAUGUAUGUGUGUUAUGUUAUGUUAUGU